rnacentral:rRNA from 1 species
AGUGAACGCUGGCGGUAGGCCUAACACAUGCAAGUCGAACGGCAGCACAGUAAGAGCUUGCCCUUACGGGUGGCGAGUGGCGGACGGGUGAGGAAUACAUCGGAAUCUACUUUUUCGUGGGGGAUAACGUAGGGAAACUUACGCUAAUACCGCACACGACCUACGGGUGAAAGCAGGGGAUCUUUGGACCUUGUGCGAUUGAAUGAGCCGAUGUCGGAUUAGCUAGUUGGCGGGGUAAAGGCCCACCACGGCGACGAUCCGUAGCUGGUCUGAGAGGAUGGUCAGCCACACUGGAACUGAGACACGGUCCAGACUCCUACGGGAGGCAGCAGUGGGGAAUAUUGGACAAUGGGCGCAAGCCUGAUCCAGCCAUACCGCGUGAGUGAAGAAGGCCUUCGGGUUGUAAAGCCCUUUUGUUGGGAAAGAAAAGCAUCAGGUUAAUACCCCGCUGUUCUGACGGUACCCAAAGAAUAAGCACCGGCUAACUUCGUG